GUAAACCAGAUGUUUACAAAUCAUGUUUCAAAAUGUCUACUCUUGAGUGUAUUAAACAAUCCCUGAAGGAUUGCUUAAAUAAUGAUUCAUUUUGAUCAUAUAUAUUUCCCGAAGAACUACAAGAUCAAUGAAGGCUCUUAAAGAGCUGUAAUAUUGUUACAUGAAGGAACAAAGUUACACAUUGAGAUUGAAUUAUAUUAAUCUAAGUCUCAUAAAAAUUCAUUGAGUUUUAAAAUAGCCAUCUAAAUGGAUAUCAUACUAAAAAAAAUGGAGAUAUUAAAUAUCUCUAUAUCUGAAGAAAAUAAGUGUAGUGGAAAAGUUAUUUUUAUCUUUGAUUUGACAGCGCUUAUAUAUUAUCCCGGAUCUAUUAUGAUGCAAAAACUAGAUAAUAAAAAAAAUGGAGAUUAUUAUGUCAACAAAUUUGACCAAGAGUUUAUUUUCUAAACUUUUCAGAAAUCAUUUGAUAAAUAUCAUUUGUCAAUUGAUAUUGAACAACUAGUAGCAUAUGCUCAUAAAAAUGGACUUGAAGAUCCAUUAUUUAGACGUCUAAUGUUAAUUGUAUAAUUGAUACUUAUCAUAUCAUGUCUUAUAAACUCUAGUUUGGUUAUGAGACCAUGUCUUAUAAACUCUAUUUUGAAAAUCAAUAAUCUUGUUGAGAUAUUGAUCUGCAUCAAGCCAACAAAUUACUAUAUAUAAGUCCCCCCUUAAUCUAUCAUUGGUUUCAGGUUAACAACCUAAUAUUUCUCAUCCAAGUGAAAUUUGGAUGUGUUGUGUAUAUCACAAUUGCUCCAAUAUAAUGCACUAAGAUAAAUAUUGAAAGAAUAUUGGAAAAAUAUAUUUGAUAUGAAUCUCCAUCUAUCAUUAAUUGUGCUGAUUCAACUUAUUUACAGUCCAGUAGGCUGAUUAUCAAUUGAUGGAUUAUUUUUUCCAAGGGGAUAUAAUAAGCAGC
rnacentral:lncRNA from 1 species